UGGGUGGAGUCACCCCGGGGACUGGACGGGAACCUGGCGGGGUCAGCUCCCGUCAAGCAGCCUGGCUCAUGGCUGUGUGGGGCCUGGGGAGCCGUCUUGGCCUGCGCGGGUGCUUCGGCGCCGCCAGGGUCCUGUAUCCCCGUUUCCAGAGCCGCGGCCCGCAGGGCGUGGAAGACGGGGACAGGCCACAGCCUUCCUCGAAGACACCCAGGAUCCCCAAGAUUUACACCAAAACGGGAGACAAAGGGUUUUCUAGUACCUUCACAGGAGAAAGGAGACCCAAAGACGAUCAAGUGUUUGAAGCCGUGGGAACUACAGAUGAAUUAAGUUCAGCUAUUGGGUUUGCUCUGGAAUUAGUCACAGAAAAGGGCCACACGUUUGCCGAAGAGCUUCAGAAAAUCCAGUGCACAUUGCAGGAUGUCGGCUCGGCCCUGGCGACACCACGCUCCUCGGCCCGGGAGGCUCACUUAAAGUAUACCACGUUCGAGGCAGGGCCCGUCCUGGAGCUGGAGCAGUGGAUCGACAAGUACACCAGCCAGCUCCCACCACUCACGGCCUUCAUCCUGCCUUCGGGAGGCAAGAUCAGCUCGGCGCUGCAUUUCUGCCGGGCCGUGUGCCGCCGGGCCGAGAGACGUGUGGUGCCUCUUGUCCAGAUGGGAGAGACGGAUGCGAACGUGGCCAAGUUCUUAAACAGACUCAGUGACUAUCUCUUCACGCUAGCCAGAUAUGCAGCCAUGAAGGAGGGGAAUCAAGAGAAAAUAUACAAGAAGAAUGACCCAUUGGCCAAGUCUGAGGCACUCUGAAAUCACAGAAAUGGGAGCUUGGAGGAUCCCUCCAUGGUGAUGGCCGUGGAGAGAGGAGCUUGCCCUUCUGGGGUCCCGGUUCCUGAAGAGCUCACCCAGAGAGGCUUAAAGCAGCCUUUUGUCCCAGCUCAGCUUUGCUCUACACCUCCUGCCACCUUCCUCAAGGGACUGUGACCGUUUGGUGAUUCUUUCCUUGACCCUGCUUCCUCAAGCUCUCCUGGGUCUUGGAGGGAUGUGGGAAUGAAUUGGCAUUGCAGGAAAGACAGAAUCAGAAACUUCUCAAGCUGUGGUUUGUCACCUUUGGAAUGCACACACAUAUUCACAAGUUUGCAUCCAGUCAGAGGAAGUCCAUGGAACCUCCCGCCCAGGAUUGAUGUGCGCACCUGUAGUCCCAGCUACUCGAGACUGAGGUGAAAAGAUUGCUUGAGCCCAGGAGCUUGAGGCCGAGUGAGCUAUGAUCGUGCCACUGCACUCCAGACCAGGCAACAAAGCGAGACCCUGUCUCAAAAACAAACCCCCAGGAGGAACUUAGUUGCCACAGCUACAAGUGUCCUCUCUGAAGAAGGGUAAGAAGCAAGUGCCAAUUCAAGGCAGCCUGGGGCAAAGGCACCCUGGAGAACAGAGUGCAUAAGUGGCAUGAAGGUGUCUUACUCAGGACCAGAGCGGGGGGCAAGGUGACCUUCCUCCCCUCACUGCUGAAAUGCCUCCCAGUGCAAGCUCCCAAGGCACCGGUCCUUCGGCCCUCAUCACUGGCCAUCUGCAGUGCCCAUGGCCCUCACUGGUCAGCAGGUGCCUUUAUUUACAAUCACCUUGGGAGGGUCGAGCAGACAUAUGUUGCUCAGGGUCGUUUAUUCUUGUUUAUAAAAUUUAUGGCUUCACCUCGAUUACACACUGUCAAAACAGAAAGGAUUGGGCCCAAAGUCUCUUGCCGCAUGACUGCCUCAGACGUGCGUACAUCUGUUAACUCCAUGGGAGCUGUAGAGGGAAAUAAGGUUCACUAUAACUCAAAAGCUUGCUACCCUGCCACGAGGUGUGAGCAUCAGGCCUUGAGAAAAGACAUCCAGGCGUGCACGGUGAGAGGGAGGAGGUAAGGUCUGUGAGUGGGCAUGCCAGGUGGCCUCAGGACCCUGCCCCCGCCUGGCCAGGGACUCUCUCAAGGUGCUUUGAUUGGGGAGUGGAAGAGAGAGAACUGUAUUUCUAUGGCCCUCGGGGGUCCAGCUGCAGGAUCCCAGCAGCUGGAAAGAGUUCUGAGCCUAUGGCUUUCCACCUGCCAACUUCAGUGGGGAGAGAGAAAUGUUGACUCUCUCUCACGGUUGCGGGGAGUGGAGAUCAGUAUGAACUUUCAGGAGGGCAAUUUGGCAAUGUGCAUCAAAGUCCUAGAGAUGUGUGUACCUUACGGUCCUGCAACUCUGUGUCUGAGAAUUUUUGUGAAGGAAAUAGACACGUUGGUGGAGCUUCAAGAGUUUUUUUUUUCGGCUUUUUUAUUUUUUCAGUGCAGGAAGUAGACACACUGGUGAAACUGCAAGGGUUUUUUGUUUUGUUUUUGUUUUUGUUUUUUCCAGUGCAGAAAAGUGCUGCUCAUUACAGUGAAAAAUUGGAAGCCAAUGUCCAACAAUAGGGAGCUGGAUAAUUAAAUAAGUAAAAUAUUAACAAUAAGGGACUGUAAGAAAUACCAUAAAACCACUGAAAAUGAUGGUGUCUACAUAUUUACUACUAUGAAAGAGCGUUCACUAUUAUUAAGUGAAAAAAGAAACCCAAAUUACAAAAUGUUACAUAUAGAAUGACCCAAAUCCUAAAAAGAAACAUACAUGUGUUUAUAUACCAUAGAAAAAUGCAUGUGUUACUAAUACGUAUCUCUCAGUGGUGGGAAGAUGGGUGGUUUUAAUGCUCAUUUUCAUUUUGUCUGGAUUUUCUAAUUUUUCUACAAUGAAUUUGGGCUGGAUUUGACAAAAGGCUUACUGUGUAAUACACAUGAAUGAAAACAAACUGACAAGUGGUU